rnacentral:rRNA from 1 species
GACAGAGGGUGCAAACGUUGUUCGGAAUUACUGGGCGUAAAGCGUGUGUAGGCGGCCGCGUAAGUCGGAUGUGAAAGCCCUGGGCUCAACCCAGGAAGUGCACUCGAUACUGCGUGGCUCGAGUCCGAUAGAGGUGGGUGGAAUUCCUAGUGUAGAGGUGAAAUUCGUAGAUAUUAGGAAGAACACCGGUGGCGAAGGCGGCCCACUGGAUCGGUACUGACGCUGAGGUGCGAAAGCGUGGGGAGCAAACAGG